rnacentral:rRNA from 1 species
AGUGAACGCUGGCGGUAGGCCUAACACAUGCAAGUCGAACGGCAGCACAGUAAGAGCUUGCUCUUACGGGUGGCGAGUGGCGGACGGGUGAGGAAUACAUCGGAAUCUACUUUUUCGUGGGGGAUAACGUAGGGAAACUUACGCUAAUACCGCAUACGACCUACGGGUGAAAGCAGGGGAUCUUCGGACCUUGCGCGAUUGAAUGAGCCGAUGUCGGAUUAGCUAGUUGGCGGGGUAAAGGCCCACCAAGGCGACGAUCCGUAGCUGGUCUGAGAGGAUGAUCAGCCACACUGGAACUGAGACACGGACCAGACUCCUACGGGAGGCAGCAGUGGGGAAUAUUGGACAGUGGGCGCAAGCCUGAUCCAGCCAUACCGCGUGGGUGAAGAAGGCCUUCGGGUUGUAAAGCCCUUUUGUUGGGAAAGAAAAGCAGCAGGUUAAUACCCCGCUGUUCUGACGGUACCCAAAGAAUAAGCACCGGCUAACUUCGUG